UGGGGAAUAUUGGACAAUGGGCGNAAGCCUGAUCCAGCAACGCCGCGUGAGGGAUGACGGCCUUCGGGUUGUAAACCUCUUUCAGUACAGACGAAGCGCAAGUGACGGUAUGUACAGAAGAAGGACCGGCCAACUACGUGCCAGCAGCCGCGGUAAUA
rnacentral:rRNA from 1 species